rnacentral:rRNA from 1 species
GUCCACGCGGUAAACGAUGGGCACUAGGUGUGGGGGUAUCCACUCCUCCCGUGCCGAAGCUAACGCAUUAAGUGCCCCGCCUGGGGAGUACGGCCGCAAGGUUAAAACUCAAAGGAAUUGACGGGGCCCGCACAAGCGGUGGAGCAUGUGGUUUAAUUCGACGCAACGCGAAGAACCUUACCUGGGCUUGACAUCCCUGGAACUCCCUGGAAACAGGGAGGUGCCCUCGAAAGAGGGAGCCAGGAGACAGGUGCUGCAUGGCUGUCGU